UGUGGCAUGAUAAUCACUGAGAAACACUGCUCCAUUCCCUUGCCUGCUGCCAAGGCUAGCCUAAACCUUGGAAAACAGACGAUACCCAGAGAGUUAAAUGUCUCAUACUGCCUAAGUCAAGGAAGCAUACGGACACCCCACCCUGGGGUGUUCAAUGCCUUUCCCCUCGAAAACUGCUUGCUAUGAAAACACCUUCCAGCGAACGGCGAGACAAGUGACGUCCUAAGGUGUGCAAGCGUGCUAUGAAGAAUUGUCCACCCCGGUGUCACCAUGAUGCAUUGGACUGUCAGGCAGACAGGGACUCUCUGCUCUGCCACUUGAAAACUGAGGCAAUGUGUCUGGAUAUCCACACUUACAUGCAAGGUGGAUGGUGCGGGGGAAGGUGUGGGCACAUGUUUGAGUUUUUAAUCUUUUAGUGUAUUAUGUUUAUUGUUAUCAGAUAGUUAUUCAGGACAAUGGGGUUCAUUUGAACAUUUCCAUGUGUUUACAGAAUAC
rnacentral:lncRNA from 1 species